UUGUAAAUAAUGCUUUCAAAUCUUAUGUUCAAUUACGCAAAUGUCUGUGAUUGUAUGCAAAUUUAUGAGAAUAACACGUACGUAUUCAUCUGUCAUGCCAGACCUUAUUUACGUAUCGUAUGUCUGUUUGUCAUCACCAUCACACAAUAGACCUGAACAUCCGAGGAUUGGGACAUACCUGAACAUCCGAAGACAGGGACACACAUGAACAUCCGAGGAUUUGGACACACCUGAACAUCCGAGGAUUGGGACACACCUGAACAUCCGAGGAUUGGGACACACCUGAACAUCCGAGGAUUGGGACACACCUGAACAUCAGAAGACUGGGACACAACUGAACAUCAGAAGACUGGGACACACCUGAACAUCCGAGGAUUGGGAAACACCUGAACAUCCGAGGAAUGGGACACACCUGAACAUUCGAGGAUUGGGACACAACUGAGCAUUAGAAGACUGGGAAACAACUGAACAUCAGAAGAUUGGGACACAACUGAACAUCAGAAGAUUAGGACACACCUGAGCUUAAGAAGAUUGGGACACACCUGAGCAUUAGAAGCCUGGGACACACCUGAACAUCAAAAGACUGGGACACAGCUGCACAUCAGAAGACUGGGACACACCUGAACAGUUGACCAACAGGUCACCGACAACCAGAAUGAGCUCUCCACCCAACAAAUUCGCAUUUCAACAUGUGAUCAGCGGGAGGUAUAUUUGCCCCAUUACAUCGCCAUCGGGGAAAGACGGAAGAUCUCAAGUAGUUUUGGGGACACGAGAGGAUCUCGACGCCGAGACACAUUUUACGUGGGAAAGAUGUAGUGAUGAUUGUGGGUACUAUCGACACUGUCAGAGUAAUCAAGUCAUGCAUGUUAACUAUGGAAGUGUCCCGGCUGUUGUCAUUCUUCAGGCCGAUCGGACUACAGCUGGAACAUUUCAAACUCCUGAAGAAACAAGAGUGUUCUGCUGUCAAGAGCAGGGAAGAUAUCUGUCCUUACUGGAGCGUCCGAACGGAUCAGUGAUCGUUCUCAGUGACGGAAAUGGUGGCCGUAAUAGAUUUACACGUGUCAAUAUUAGCUAGGUUGGAGGUUGUGUUAGUAUUGAUGUAAACGGGAAUACAAUUGUUUUAUUUAUAAAGAAAGUUGUAUAAGGUGUUAAUGUUUGUACUGUAAAAUCGUCUAAUUGUAUGCCUAUAAACCGGGGGUCCCAGGGGUUCCUAGGCUCAUCUAUCUUUUGGAUAUUCAAAACAGUUUUGCUGACAUGUUCACCCUUCCUCGUCAAAGAAAGCUCCCUUUAAAAGCUAACUGCUUGUAUUUGUGUCUUGGUUUUUAAGUUGGGUUUUAAGUUGGUGUAUAUUUAAUUGAUAUUACUUUUAGUAUUUCAUAGAUGUGUAAUGUAUUGAUCUGUGUUGAAUGCUGAGCUUUAUCUAAUGUAAAUGCUUUAAGCCGUAUGUUCAUUAUAAUGUGUUGUGUAUUCAUUAUAAUGUGUUGUAUAGAAAUGGUGCAAAUACUUAGGGGUUGCUAUGCUCGUACGGACAUUCACAUUCAUUAAUAACAGAGACAUUCUAAGUGAGAAUUGCACUCCAAUUAUAUUUAUGAUAUUCCUCUAUUAAUCUGAUGUAUUUAGAUAAAUUAUCACUGGUA